CCCCUAGUAACUGCGAGUGAAGAGGGAAAAGCUCAAAUUUAAUCUGGCAGUCUUUGAUUGUCCGAGUUGUAAUUUAGAGAAGUGUUGCCCGUGUUGGACCGUGUACAAGUUUCCUGGAAUGGAACGUCAUAGAGGGUGAGAAUCCCGUCUUUGACACGGAUCCAAUGCAUUGUGGUACACUUUCGAAGAGUCGAGUUGUUUGGGAAUGCAGCUCAAAUGGGUGGUA
rnacentral:rRNA from 1 species